GGGGUGUGCUCAGAGCAGAGGGCCCCAAGAAUGGCUUCUCUGUUUACAACGCACCCAACAGGAAUCCAGGGCCACUGUGAAGAGGGGCACAACACUUGUGGCCCCCCUAUGGGCAGAUGCCCUACACGU
ensembl:snoRNA